rnacentral:lncRNA from 1 species
CCACCCUGGCCCCUGUGCUGCCUCGGCGGAGGCUGGCAGAUCGCUUGAGUCCAGAAGUUUGAGACCAGCCUCAGCAACAUGACAAAAUCCCAACUCUACAAAAAAUACAAAAAUUAGCUGGGCAUGAUGGUGGGUGCCUGUAGUCCCAGGUACUCAGGAGGCUGAAGUGGGAGGAUCACUUGAGCCCAGGAGGUUGAAGCUGCAGUGAGCUGAGAUAGCACCACUGCAUUCCAGCCUGGGUGACAGAGUGAGACUCUGUCUCAAAAAAUGAAAGCUAAAAAUAAUAAUAAU